UGGAAAGUAGCAUGAGGGUCGUGCAGGCGGCUGUUAACCGUCAGGCGAAGGUUCGAUUCCUUCCUUUCCAGCCA
rnacentral:tRNA from 1 species